GAACGAGGUAGAUGAAGAGGUCUGGAAAGGCCCGCCAUAGGAGGUAACAGCCCUGUAGUCAAAACUUCGUUCUCUCCUGAGUGGAUCCUGAGUACGGCGGAACACGUGAAAUUCCGUCGGAAUCCGGGAGGACCAUCUCCCAAGGCUAAAUACUCCCUAGUGACCGAUAGUGAACCAGUACCGUGAGGGAAAGGUGAAAAGCACCCCGGAAGGGGAGUGAAAGAGAUCCUGAAACCGUGUGCCUACAAGUAGUCAGAGCCCGUUAACGGGUGAUGGCGUGCCUUUUGUAGAAUGAACCGGCGAGUUACGAUCCCGUGCAAGGUUAAGCAGAAGAUGCGGAGCCGCAGCGAAAGCGAGUCUGAAUAGGGCGCAUGAGUACGUGGUCGUAGACCCGAAACCAGGUGAUCUACCCAUGUCCAGGGUGAAGUUCAGGUAACACUGAAUGGAGGCCCGAACCCACGCACGUUGAAAAGUGCGGGGAUGAGGUGUGGGUAGGGGUGAAAUGCCAAUCGAACCUGGAGAUAGCUGGUUCUCUCCGAAAUAGCUUUAGGGCUAGCCUCAAGGUAAGAGUCUUGGAGGUAGAGCACUGAUUGGACUAGGGGCCCCUACCGGGUUACCGAAUUCAGUCAAACUCCGAAUGCCAAUGACUUAUCCUUGGGAGUCAGACUGCGAGUGAUAAGAUCCGUAGUCGAAAGGGAAACAGCCCAGACCGCCAGCUAAGGUCCCAAAGUAUACGUUAAGUGGAAAAGGAUGUGGAGUUGCUUAGACAACCAGGAUGUUGGCUUAGAAGCAGCCACCAUUUAAAGAGUGCGUAAUAGCUCACUGGUCGAGUGACUCUGCGCCGAAAAUGUACCGGGGCUAAACGUAUCACCGAAGCUGCGGACUGUUCUUCGAACAGUGGUAGGAGAGCGUUCUAAGGGCUGUGAAGCCAGACCGGAAGGACUGGUGGAGCGCUUAGAAGUGAGAAUGCCGGUAUGAGUAGCGAAAGAGGGGUGAGAAUCCCCUCCACCGAAUGCCUAAGGUUUCCUGAGGAAGGCUCGUCCGCUCAGGGUUAGUCGGGACCUAAGCCGAGGCCGAAAGGCGUAGGCGAUGGACAACAGGUUGAUAUUCCUGUACCACCUCCUCACCAUUUGAGCAAUGGGGGGACGCAGGAGGAUAGGGUAAGCGCGGUAUUGGAUAUCCGCGUCCAAGCAGUUAGGCUGGGAAAUAGGCAAAUCCGUUUCCCAUAAGGCUGAGCUGUGAUGGCGAGCGAAAUAUAGUAGCGAAGUUCCUGAUUCCACACUGCCAAGAAAAGCCUCUAGCGAGGUGAGAGGUGCCCGUACCGCAAACCGACACAGGUAGGCGAGGAGAGAAUCCUAAGGUGAUCGAGAGAACUCUCGUUAAGGAACUCGGCAAAAUGACCCCGUAACUUCGGGAGAAGGGGUGCUCUGUUAGGGUGCAAGCCCGAGAGAGCCGCAGUGAAUAGGCCCAGGCGACUGUUUAGCAAAAACACAGGUCUCUGCGAAGCCGUAAGGCGAAGUAUAGGGGCUGACGCCUGCCCGGUGCUGGAAGGUUAAGAGGAGCGCUUAGCGUAAGCGAAGGUGCGAAUUGAAGCCCCAGUAAACGGCGGCCGUAACUAUAACGGUCCUAAGGUAGCGAAAUUCCUUGUCGGGUAAGUUCCGACCCGCACGAAAGGCGCAACGAUCUGGGCACUGUCUCAACGAGAGACUCGGUGAAAUUAUAGUACCUGUGAAGAUGCAGGUUACCCGCGACAGGACGGAAAGACCCCGUGGAGCUUUACUGCAGCCUGAUAUUGAAUGUUGGUACAGCUUGUACAGGAUAGGUAGGAGCCUUGGAAACCGGAGCGCCAGCUUCGGUGGAGGCAUCGGUGGGAUACUAC
rnacentral:rRNA from 1 species